rnacentral:rRNA from 1 species
AGACCCGAAACCCGGUGAUCUAGCCAUGGGCAGGUUGAAGGUUGGGUAACACUAACUGGAGGACCGAACCGACUAAUGUUGAAAAAUUAGCGGAUGACCUGUGGCUGGGGGUGAAAGGCCAAUCAAACCGGGAGAUAGCUGGUUCUCCCCGAAAGCUAUUUAGGUAGCGCCUCGUGAAUUCAUCUCCGGGGGUAGAGCACUGUUUCGGCUAGGGGGUCAUCCCGACUUACCAACCCGAUGCAAACUGCGAAUACCGGAGAAUGUUAUCACGGGAGACACACGGCGGGUGCUAACGUCCGUCGUGAAGAGGGAAACAACCCAGACCGCCAGCUAAGGUCCCAAAGUCAUGGUUAAGUGGGAAACGAUGUGGGAAGGCCCAGACAGCCAGGAUGUUGGCUUAGAAGCAGCCAUCAUUUAAAGAAAGCGUAAUAGCUCACUGGUCGAGUCGGCCUGCGCGGAAGAUGUAACGGGGCUAAACCAUGCACCGAAGCUGCGGCAGCGACACUGUGUGUUGUUGGGUAGGGGAGCGUUCUGUAAGCCUGUGAAGGUGGCCUGUGAGGGUUGCUGGAGGUAUCAGAAGUGCGAAUGCUGACAUAAGUAACGAUAAAGCGGGUGAAAAGCCCGCUCGCCGGAAGACCAAGGGUUCCUGUCCAACGUUAAUCGGGGCAGGGUGAGUCGACCCCUAAGGCGAGGCCGAAAGGCGUAGUCGAUGGGAAACGGGUUAAUAUUCCCGUACUUGGUGUUACUGCGAAGGGGGGACGGAGAAGGCUAUGUUGGCCGGGCGACGGUUGUCCCGGUUUAAGCGUGUAGGUGUGUGUUCCAGGUAAAUCCGGUUCACUUUAACACUGAGGCGUGACGACGAGGCACUACGGUGCUGAAGCAACAAAUGCCCUGCUUCCAGGAAAAGCCUCUAAGCAUCAGGUAACAUCAAAUCGUACCCCAAACCGACACAGGUGGUCAGGUAGAGAAUACCAAGGCGCUUGAGAGAACUCGGGUGAAGGAACUAGGCAAAAUGGUGCCGUAACUUCGGGAGAAGGCACGCUGACACGUAGGUGAAGUGAUUUACUCACGGAGCUGAAGUCAGUCGAAGAUACCAGCUGGCUGCAACUGUUUAUUAAAAACACAGCACUGUGCAAACACGAAAGUGGACGUAUACGGUGUGACGCCUGCCCGGUGCCGGAAGGUUAAUUGAUGGGGUCAGCGCAAGCGAAGCUCCUGAUCGAAGCCCCGGUAAACGGCGGCCGUAACUAUAACGGUCCUAAGGUAGCGAAAUUCCUUGUCGGGUAAGUUCCGACCUGCACGAAUGGCGUAAUGAUGGCCAGGCUGUCUCCACCCGAGACUCAGUGAAAUUGAACUCGCUGUGAAGAUGCAGUGUACCCGCGGCAAGACGGAAAGACCCCGUGAACCUUUACUAUAGCUUGACACUGAACAUUGAGCCUUGAUGUGUAGGAUAGGUGGGAGGCUUUGAAGCGUGGACGCCAGUCUGCGUGGAGCCGACCUUGAAAUACCACCCUUUAAUGUUUGAUGUUCUAACGUGGACCCGUGAUCCGGGUUGCGGACAGUGUCUGGUGGGUAGUUUGACUGGGGCGGUCUCCUCCUAAAGAGUAACGGAGGAGCACGAAGGUUGGCUAAUCCUGGUCGGACAUCAGGAGGUUAGUGCAAUGGCAUAAGCCAGCUUGACUGCGAGCGUGACGGCGCGAGCAGGUGCGAAAGCAGGUCAUAGUGAUCCGGUGGUUCUGAAUGGAAGGGCCAUCGCUCAACGGAUAAAAGGUACUCCGGGGAUAACAGGCUGAUACCGCCCAAGAGUUCAUAUCGACGGCGGUGUUUGGCACCUCGAUGUCGGCUCAUCACAUCCUGGGGCUGAAGUAGGUCCCAAGGGUAUGGCUGUUCGCCAUUUAAAGUGGUACGCGAGCUGGGUUUAGAACGUCGUGAGACAGUUCGGUCCCUAUCUGCCGUGGGCGCUGGAGAACUGAGGGGGGCUGCUCCUAGUACGAGAGGACCGGAGUGGACGCAUCACUGGUGUUCGGGUUGUCAUGCCAAUGGCACUGCCCGGUAGCUAAAUGCGGAAGAGAUAAGUGCUGAAAGCAUCUAAGCACGAAACUUGCCCCGAGAUGAGUUCUCCCUGAGACUUAAAGUCUCCUGAAGGAACGUUGAAGACGACG